GUGGAGAUCACAGGCUGUGGGGUCUGGAAUGAGUUCAUUUUGCUCUGUCUCCUGCUGAAUUGCAUCGGCUGCACCAGACCUACAGAAUCAGAAUCCCCCGAGUGGGGCUGGAAGGAGAAACCACCGGCCGAGGGUCUCACAGCUGGUGACCAGCAAACCGUGAAGUGGAGCUCAGGCCUGCUGAUGCCUCUUCCAGGACCUGCAAGCUGCUGGGGGCCGCGGCCUCAGCCCCUGGUCCUCCCCUGGGGCCCCAGCGGGGCUUCCACCCAGACCCUGGCCUCGUCAUCUGCACCUACCAGGAUCAAGGCCUGCCGCUGGCCCCGCACAAGGGAUUCAUCCUUCUGAAGUUUAGGCCAGAGACUUCAAAGAGAAACCCAGGACUUCCUGCUGAGCUCCCAGUCUGGAAGCUCCCCCGCCACAUCCCUGUGGGGACGCAGAGUACGUGGAGGCCACCCCUGGCCCAGAAGGGAAACUGAGACCCAGACUGAGAAGGAGCCAAGCUCGGGCCAUCAACUUCAACGUGCUUCAUUUCGAAAGGUCGCUGCUGUGGCUGACAGUAAGCCGUGUAAGGCGGAGGGAAAGCACUUUCUGCACGCGCUGCUGCUCACAGGGGAAGACCAAGCUGAGGGAGCCUGAGGGUAAAUGCACAGAAUGAGUCGCCGGAAGCGGGUCUCUAUUUGGUUACUGUCUCUGGAGCAGGUGCUAUAGCGGGUUUUGCUUCCUUGUUAGUUUUUCCCCCUAUAUUUCUAAUAACAACUUACAUUUGCACUCGGG
rnacentral:lncRNA from 1 species